CUACGGGGGGUGCAAGCGUUAAUCGGAAUUACUGGGCGUAAAGCGCGCGUAGGCGGUUUGCUCAGUCGGAUGUGAAAGCCCAGGGCUCAACCUUGGAACUGCAUACGAUACUGGCAAACUAGAGUGUGAGAGAGGAUAGUGGAAUUUCCGGUGUAGCGGUGAAAUGCGUAGAUAUCGGAAGGAACAUCAGUGGCGAAGGCGACUGUCUGGCUCAACACUGACGCUGAGGUGCGAAAGCGUGGGUAGCAAACAGAAUUAGAAACCCUUGUAGUCC
rnacentral:rRNA from 1 species